rnacentral:rRNA from 1 species
UACGGAGGGGGCUAGCGUUGUUCGGAAUCAUUGGGCGUAAAGGGCGCGUAGGCGGCCGAUCAAGUCGGAGGUGAAAUCCCUCGGCUCAACUGAGGAAUUGCCUUCGAUACUGUUCGGCUUGAGUCCUGGAGAGGGUAGCGGAAUUCCCGGUGUAGCGGUGAAAUGCGUAGAGACCGGGAAGAACACCAGUGGCGAAGGCGGCUCUCUAGUACGGUACUGACGCUGAGACGCGAAAGCGUGGGGAGCGAACAGG